UACAGAGGGUGCGAGCGUUGUCCGGAAUCACUGGGCGUAAAGGGCGCGUAGGCGGCUUGAUAAGGUUGCGGUGAAAGCCCGGGGCUCAACCCCGGGUCGGCCGUGGCAACUGUCGAGCUGGAGCACUGUAGAGGCAGGUGGAAUUCCGGGUGUAGCGGUGGAAUGCGUAGAGAUCCGGAAGAACACCGGUGGCGAAGGCGGCCUGCUGGGCAGCGGCUGACGCUGAGGCGCGACAGCGUGGGGAGCAAACAGG
rnacentral:rRNA from 1 species